GGAGGGUGAAGGAGGGCGGCUUCCGGAGCCAGGGAACUAGACCACUAGUGUGCGCGAGCGCCGCUUCCGCUUCCGUCAGGGAAGGCCGGAGGAAAAGGGGAGGGGCGUCGGGUGCCGCGGGCUUGUUCUGAGAGGAGACCAUCAGGCUUCAGCUGAUCAUGCAACAAAGGUUCCAGCCAGUUCCAAGUGAAGACACCACCCCCGGCCAUCAAAAAGCUACCCUGCCUCCACUAGACAGAGCAGGGUGAGAGUUCCAUGAUCCCCAAUAG